GUGUCAGCAGCCGCGGUAAGACAGAGGGUGCAAACGUUGUUCGGAAUUACUGGGCGUAAAGCGCGUGUAGGCGGCCAGACAAGUCGGGUGUGAAAGCCCACGGCUCAACCGUGGAAGUGCACUCGAAACUGCUUGGCUAGAGUUCUGGAGAGGAAGGCGGAAUACUCGGUGUAGAGGUGAAAUUCGUAGAUAUCGAGUGGAACACCGGUGGCGAAGGCGGCCUUCUGGACAGUGACUGACGCUGAGACGCGAAAGCGUGGGGAGCAAACAGGAUUAGAUACCCCGGUAGUCC
rnacentral:rRNA from 1 species